AAUAACCAAAUAUAACACCGGGGUUAAGGGUCAAAUUGGUAAUUUUUCUUACAUCUCCCCCGCCUGGGGCCCAAGUAUCAUAUAAGCCGCCAAAAUAGAGAGCCUUGAGUACUAGAAGAAAAGCACCUAUACCUAACAAAAUUAAGUGAAUACCCAAAAUUGUAGUCAUUUUAUUUUUAUCUUUCCA
rnacentral:antisense_RNA from 1 species